AGGAAUCUAAUGCGUGUGCGAGUCGGAGGGACUCUGCACAAAACCCUGUGGUGCAAUGAAGGUGAGGGCCAGGCGCCCCGGAUGAGGUGGAAUCCUGCCACCCCUUCUCCCCCCCAGGGGGGAGGGUCCUGGCAGGCGCACCACCAGCCCAUCUUGCCUGCUCCAUCGGUGAGGUGGAGUGUAAGCGUGCACGAUAGAACCCGAAAGAUUGUGAACUAUACCUGGGUAGGGCGACGCCAGAGUAAGCUCUGCUGGAGGUCCAUAGUGGUCCAGACGUGCAAAACGGUCAUCAUACCUGAGUAUAGGGCUGGAAGACUAAUCGAACCAUCUAGUAGCUGAUUCCCUCUGAAGUUUUCCUUAGGAUAGCUGGCGCUCACCCGUUGCAGUUUUAUCCAUUAAAGUGAAUGAUUAGAGGUCUUGGGGCUGAAACAAUCUCAACCUUUUCUCAAAAUUUAAAAAAGAAGCCCGGUUCGCUGGCUUGGAGCCGGGCAUGAAAUGCGAGCAGGCCUAGUGGGCCACUUUUGGUAAGCAGAACUGGCACUGCGGAAUGAAUCGAAUGCUGGGUUAAGUCGCCCAAUGCCAGCGCUCAUCAGACCCCAGAAAAGGUGUUGGCUGAUAUAGACAGCAGGACAGUGGCCAUGGAAGUCGGAAUCCGCCACGGAGUGUGUAACAAAGUGUGUAGCCGAAUCAACUAGCCCUGAAAAUGGAUGGCGCUGGAGCAUCAGGCUCAUACUCGGCCUCUAGGGCCCCCCAAACGGCGGAGCUAGGCAUGUGCGAACAGAAAGGUAGGGAGAGGUCGACUCCCAGCCGACCUGGAAGACUACGCUGUUGAGUCUCGCUCCCCAUGCGAUCU
rnacentral:ncRNA from 1 species